GCCCAGCUCAGUUUCUUAUUUAUAGGUAAUGUUUAAGAGAAAUGACCCAUUCCUACUUUCGGCAAGAAGGUGCACAUAGUGUAGACCCAUAGAAGAGGAGGGAUCUGGGAAGGACUUUGAAAAAGUGUAGGAGAGGCUGUGAGAACACAAGGCAGGUGUACUGGCUGAGGGCAGGAAGGAGACAUUGCUGAUGAAAAUUGGGCCCCAUUUUCCUGCGAGAUUGAGAAGAGGACCUGCGGACUGGGCGGCCCACACAACUGCUGUAAACUCAGGCUGCUGGAUUGACCUUAUUGCUGGAGCAUGGGAGAUGAAGCUUGCUUGGUCUUAACUGCACCAUGCCGACACUGGCUCUCUGUUGGGAGGAAAGAGCUUGCUUUGCUGGUGCCUGUGUGGAACAGAGAGGGGAGUGGCAGACAGUCUGGGCCCAGCACUUGGGUAUCUUGUUUUAGCUGUAAGACUCAUCUCUCUACUCACAUAUGCCCCUGGAAAAAAGAGCCCAGACUUCAUCACUAAUGCUUUCUUAGGAGAAAAUGAACAGCUGGAGAAUGCUCCUGAUCAGCAGUCCUGAAGGAUGCUGGGAUGCAGCCUUCAAGAUGGAGCAGCUGGGAUGCCAAGUAUCCCUCUUGCCCUCUUUCUUACGAUGCAUGCUGGCCUCGAGAUGUCUCAACACAGCAUCCUAGUCCGUUGCCAUAUAAGAUGAACUCUUGACCAUCUCUAGACUAGAGAGUUAAACCCAACACUAGCAGACGACUUUGGGUUUAUGCAUAUGACAUGUUUCCUCUGGCAACUGCACAGAAUCUUCUCUAAAUAUCAUGUCUACAGUUGGCAGGAGUGGCAUGUAUAAUACAAAAUAUAUGAUGGCUCCAUUGUCAUAAUACUUGUACUAAAGUAAAUUCACAAAUGGCUUUUUAGAACUAAUGACAAAAGGUUACUCGUUACCACGUUUCUACUUAAUUUCCUAAAAGGCCAGUUUGAAAUCACACUGGGAUUCUCACAAUUUUGGUUGACAGUCAAGUAAAUUGCAUGUAGCAGCUACUUACCAAGCACUUUUGAAUGAAUAAAUGAAGAAUGAGUAAAAUGAAAGCUCUCUUGUU